UUCCAGGGAACGGCAUAUUCCUCGUUUAUGCGGAACCGAGCAAUUCCUCCGAAUCGAGCGGACCGCGCGGAACGACUCGCCCUCGCGUCUUCCUCAGCGCCUCGCGUAUCUCCCUCUCUCGCAUCUCCCUCACAGCUGGCAGGCAGCGGGCGGCGGCGCCCGAACGAGACGAACGGCGGCGCCCGAAGGAGACACUCGCUGCUCCCAGCCUCACCGCCGGCACACUCGCCGCUGACGCCGGCGGCGACGACCGGAUCGUGGCCGUUCCCUCCCCUUCCCGUCAGAUCCGUCAAGGUCCGACGACGGCAGCGUCCAUCUAGCCGAUGACAGAAAAGCGAUGAAGUUCUACGGCUAAGUGUGGCUGAUAGCUGACAGGGCAAUAUAUAUCACUUGUUUUGGGCAUUUACAAUUGAAAGUUUUGCUGUGUGUUGAUGAUCUUUUUUACCUCUAUAUGUGUCUUGUUUGUGUUUGGUGCCAAAGAUCAACAUAUUGUACAUAAUCACAAGAAAACAAGUGGAGAUAUGAACAAACCCAUUCCGUUC